CGUUUAGGGGUAAACCUGAGAAACCCGAAAGAUCGAAGGAAGAAAUUCAUUCGUGUAUCGAUACAAGCAAUUUUGGUUUGUAUGACUAGCGCAUGCAGUUAUCUGCGCGGGCAUCUGCCAUUUUUGGAAAUUGUAACGAACACGUGCACUUUUCUUCUGGUAGAACGUCGCGAUCCGUUGGGUGCUGGUCUACGAGAUCCAGUGGAGAUCAAGCGUUACACGUAUUUUCGUGGACACGUUUGAACCUGUGAUUCUUUCUGACCGGCUCGCUUGACGGUAUACGAACGGUUUAGGGCCGCUCUUGGAGCGUUCGUCUCUUGACAAGCGCGCUAGCUGUGUUGAAGAUCUCGGCCUUCGGGCUGGUCCCAAUCACUAGCGACUGUUGGUCAAGAUGUUCUCGAACAGACCCUAAAGAGUGGUAUUUAAAUACAAAAACCGAUCUGCGACGCUAUAGCUUUGGGUACUUUCAGGACCCGUCUUGAAACACGGACCAAGGAGUCUAGCAUGUACGCGAGUCAUUAGGAAUUACUAAACCUAAAGGCGCAAUAAAAGUAAAGCUCUUCCUUGCGAGGAACUAGGGAAGACGAUGGGUGUUCAGCUUUUUUAGCGGCCCGUCUGCAUUCCCGGGGCGUCUCAUUCUCAUCGCGAGAAGAGGCGCACCAAGAGCGUACACGCUGGGACCCGAAAGAUGGUGAACUAUGCCUGGUCAGGAUGAAGUCAGGGGAAACCCUGAUGGAGGUCCGUAGCGAUUCUGACGUGCAAAUCGAUCGUCGGAACUGGGUAUAGGGGCGAAAGACUAAUCGAACCAUC
rnacentral:rRNA from 1 species